UAUUUUGUUGACAGAGCUGCUCUUUCCAUUAUAUAUAUAGCCUCUUCUUUCUUGCUCCAUUGCCUCUUCCCUAAACUCUCUCUUUCCUUCCUUCCUUCCUUCCUUCCUUCCUUCCAUGGGAACAGCUUGCUUAAGCUCUGGAAUCCAACUUAAUUGGGGUUGCAGAAGGAAGGAAACUAAGAUAAGAGGUUGAGACAUUCGAUAGCAGUGUGAGUGCUUGUGAUAUAUUAUAAUAAGAGGUAUUGGCGUGUCUCAAUCUGAAACCAUGGUUGCAUGCUGGAAUAGCCAUGUUAUUUGGAUUGAGCCGCGUCAAUAUCUCUCCUUUACUUCCAUCACUCCUUUCAAGGUAUUUUUCUUUUUUCUUUUUCUUCUAAGAUAAAUUCUUGGCCUGCAACCUUACUUUCAGAUUUUUGAUGCUGAACUGCACUUUUUCUUCAUCAGCAUGCAUACAUUUAUUCAGGUUCCCGCGCAUGGUAGUAAAAGGAAGGACCAAAAGAAACUUGCUGUUUUAGCUUACAGUAUUUUGUUCUUCCAUUCAGUUUGGCCAUUAAAAGAAAAGUUAAUUUGUCGUGGCUAAGCUAAUGAUUUUCCAUCAGGCUAAUUCGAUACUAUUUUUACUAGGUUGAUUACUGAUGGUAAUAAACUGCAGAGUUAGUGUACAUGUUUAGAUUUAUGAUCUAUUUCACUUUAAUUUGUUUGGCUUCUCUCGAGGAGCAGUUGAUGUGGGCAAGCUGUUAGAUGUGAUAUAUUCCAUGCUUGAAGAAUAUUUUGCAAGAAGGGCUCAAACUGUACAAAUCGAUCGUCGAAAGCCAUUGCUGAAACUGAAGUUUUCUACCGUAGGACGCCGGCAGCAGUCCUGUUCCAAUCAGACUAGCCGGAGAAGGCCGAUCAGAUGCCCUCCACCCUUCGGUACGCAUCCAAUAUGUCCUCGAAGCUAAAUCCCGAAAACGGAGGCGUCUGCGUCUGCAGCUGCAGGCUCAUUUGGUCAGCGCUCGGGUCCGAUGGCAGUGGCAGGAGCGACGCCGAUGACUGGUCGUUGUGCAAGGGCACCUCUGCCGUGACAGGGAGCAGAGUAGGAGGGGACGUCACCGGCGCAGGAUAAACGGCUACUAGUGGUUGCGGCAUCUGAGAGACAAGAGGAAGCAUAGAAGGCAGCGGCGGCGGUAAUGGAAAAUUCUGGCCCUUGUGCCUUUUGUCUUGUUGUUGCUGGUUGAGUUCAGGUUCACCGGCGGCUUCUUGCUCCUCCGGAGGGUAGACAUUGAUAGAAGUCCUCGAAGGCAAAUCCCGAAAGUUCUCGAAGUCAAAUCCCUCCGCGGGUUCAAACGGCUGUGGCUGCAGGCUCCUCCGGUCAAUGCUCGGGUCGGACGAGAGCGACGCCAAGAAUUGGCCGUUGUGCAACUGCAUCUCUUCCGUGACUGGGAGAUGAGGAGAAAGGACCGUCACCGGCCCAGGAUAACCGGCGACGACGGGGUAAUUAAGAUAUUCCAGAGGAAGCAUAGAAGGCGGCGGCGGCGGCGGCGGUAAUGGAGAAAUCUGGACCUUUUGCCUUUUGUGUUGGGGCUGGUGGAUGUCAGAUUCUCCGCCGGCGUCUUGCACUUCGGGAGGGUAGACGUUGACACCAGCAUGCUGGCAUCGCUUGACGUAGGUUUUCCAGUAGUUCAUGCAUUCGUUCUCCGAUCUCCCGGC